UGCUAGGAAAUCGCUCAGACGUGGACAUUAGAUUUGCCCGAGUCCACUAUAUGCCUCAGAUUCACACAGUCGCCGAUGCGAUCGGCGACGUCCGUUGGCCAACGAAAGUGGUUGCACCCGAUUCGAGUUCGAGCACCACUUGUCCGCCGUCUGUCACUCGCGGCGGCAUCGGUUCCAGCGGCAGCAUUUGCAGCAGCAACAUCAGCGGCACAGGCAGCAACAGCAGCCAGCACCCAUUCAGUCAAACGCUCAUUCAUGCAUGCCCAGGCUGAAGUCUCGCAGUCCAAGGGGCAUAAUUCAAUUUCCGCUGCCCAACUCGACUCCGCUCCGCUCCAGUGUAUCAGUUCCCCGUAUUGACACUUUGAUUUAGUGCUUACAUGCAGCGUUUGCCAUUUGCUCGCUUAUUGAUUUAUAUUUAAAGCUACUGAUGUAUCUAUUCGGAGCCCAACUUUGUUGCCGCUCGAUUGAGCGAUUGAGGCUGCCUCUGGCUGGCCAAGUUUGUCAACUUAUGUCAGUCGGCUGAAAGCCUUCAAUCGGAAGGGGAUUAAAUACCUGUGGAGAUGGGGGCUCAGAGUUAAUCAAUUUCGUGAGAAUAUACUCCACCGAACUAUUUGAUCUCAUCAAGAAAGUAUGAUUAUUAUUAUAAGAUUCUGGAUUAAAAAGAGCCAGAGAGCUAAUGGUUUCAUCAGUCCGGUGUUGAAGAAGAGUUACAUUGGGUGUGAGAUGACAGGGACGUACGCGUCAGAAAAGUUGUUGCAUGCUGCCCACUGAUUAUGCCGCACUUUACAAAGCAACACCUCCGUGCCUCUAUGAUUGGCCUAUGAUUAUUGCCUGCGUGUGUAUCUAACAGCAACAGCACGGCAGCAACACCAAGAGCACCGCAGCAACACCAUCGAAUCCGGCAGCCUCAUCGCGUGCAAGGAGUGAGCUCGUGCUCGGGUAAUGAUGAUGAUAGCUUUUUGAUGCUAAUGAUAGACAACCGGCCCCCAGUUCUAUGCGCUGGCUGUAAUUCCGUUCGGAAGUCGCGCAAUUGCACCCAGCCUGAAAGUGAAAUUUUCAUGCGAGGGGAGGGAAAAGGCCUGUCUAUGUUUGGCGAUAAUCGUGCAAUCAAUUAAGGUUAAUUGCCUUUUAAUGCAAUCGGUCGGAUCUGCAUGAGGGGCGCAACAACUCGCAGCGAUUAUGCAAAAUCGAGGAUGAACAGUUAGUUUCCCGAACUCGCGACGAUCGGCGAUUUUGGCAAUUUUGGGACCUUCGUGAUUGGGGCCAAUUUCGAUUAUCGCCAACGAAAUUGCGGUAGCCGCCAAGCGAUCGGCAGACAAAAAAUUUUGAUAUUCUAAUUUCCCUCGCUGCCGCAUUAUGAUUUGCAAUUUGAAGUUAUUGGAGCUACUGGCUUUUGCCCGCGGCGGUCUCACAUGCAAAUUGAUCUGCCUUUUGCGGCAAUUUGGCGCUUCUAACGGUAAUGCGUUUGGGCCAAGUUCACUGAGUCGGCCCAUUGGUAGCUGGAACUGUGUGUUUAUCUGUCUGGCCCAUUUGCAUAUAGCUAACAAAUUGGGCAGACUGGACAUGAAAUCGCGAAGACUUUCUCAAGGUUACUCGUUGGCCGGGGUAGUUUGAUUAAAGCUUUUAACAAUUCGCCUGGCUGUUUACUAACGCUUUGGUAAAGUAAGUCGAAAUAAGAUAUCUGUAUGACAUUAUAAUGUGGAGAAAACUUAAAGAUACAAAACAGAUAUUCUAAACAGAUUGGUUCAGAUAUAAAAGUUUUGGGAAGUUCACAUGGAGUUGGAAAACGAUAAGCACAAUAUAUGUAUUGUAUCUGAUAAGAUACCAAAAUAAAUAUGUCAAGCACUUAAAGUACGUUUUGUAAGUCAUUAAAAAAGUAAAAGUAAUAAAAAUAGUUAAUAUGAAAUAAAA